rnacentral:rRNA from 1 species
UGGGGAAUAUUGCACAAUGGGGGAAACCCUGAUGCAGCGACGCCGCGUGAGCGAAGAAGUAUUUCGGUAUGUAAAGCUCUAUCAGCAGGGAAGAAAGAAAUGACGGUACCUGACUAAGAAGCACCGGCUAAAUACGUGCCAGCAGCCGCGGUAAUACGUAUGGUGCAAGCGUUAUCCGGAUUUACUGGGUGUAAAGGGAGCGCAGGCGGUACGGCAAGUCUGAUGUGAAAGCCCGGGGCUCAACCCCGGUACUGCAUUGGAAACUGUCGGACUAGAGUGUCGGAGGGGUAAGUGGAAUUCCUAGUGUAGCGGUGAAAUGCGUAGAUAUUAGGAGGAACACCAGUGGCGAAGGCGGCUUACUGGACGAUUACUGACGCUGAGGCUCGAAAGCGUGGGGAGCAAACAGG